rnacentral:rRNA from 1 species
CAGUAGCCGCGGGAAUACGAAGGGUGCAAGCGUUACUCGGAAUUACUGGGCGUAAAGCGUGCGUAGGUGGUGGUUUAAGUCCGUUGUGAAAGCCCUGGGCUCAACCUGGGAAUUGCAGUGGAUACUGGGUCACUAGAGUGUGGUAGAGGAUAGUGGAAUUUCCGGUGUAGCAGUGAAAUGCGUAGAGAUCGGAAGGAACAUCUGUGGCGAAGGCGACUAUCUGGGCCAACACUGACACUGAGGCACGAAAGCGUGGGGAGCAAACAGGAUUAGAGACCCCCGUAGUCCCUGUCUCUUAUAU